AAAUUAAAAAAAAAAGAGGCAGCGCCUCUUGUAUGUUUCUUUUCAUUUUUUUUUCUGAAACUCUCUCCAUCUCUUUCGAUGAACAACAACAGCAAAAGCUUUCUCUCUUUCGGUUUCGAUCGCUAUCUCCUCUCUCUUCGUCGCUAAAUACGUCUCUCGCGAUUUUUCAAACAAGGAACUCGGCCAUGAAACCGAAGCUUCCUCUCUCUCGAUCGCUACUCUCUGUCAGUGAACAACAACGACAACAACUUCUCGGCGUCACUCUCGGUGCUCUCAUGGUUAGGGAACUAAGUUCACAGGAAACAAACAGCAAUUUCGGGAGAAAGUGUGAAGUCGAUUUACCUACGGCAAGGAGGUUUUCGCCGGAUUAUUGUUGAGCUUCCGACGGAAUCGGCCGUGUUUCAGAAUCUUUGGUGAUGAAGUGCUGCAAGUUGAAGUAACGAUUCGGCCUUCGUCGUAAUUGCGGAGUUUGUCGGCAGCUGAUUGAAGGAUGAUGAGUAAGAUUGAAGGAUGAUGAGUAAGUUUCGAUUACUUCUCCUGUUUUUCUGUUUUCUAUAAAUUUCCGGUGCAUUUUAUAAUGAUUGAAUUUAGUUGGUCAUCUAACAAGUUUAACUCUUAACCAAGACUUAUUUUGUCCUCUAGCUUUCCCAAAAGAAACCUCACUUUCAUUUAUAAAAGGUCAUCAAAGAGGUGGAGAAGUAAUUCUUCAUAUCUUGUUUACUAGCAACUUUCAACAACUUAAAGCUUCUUUUUCAAAUCUCCCAAAAAAAGAUCUUCAUCUUCAAACCUCCAACUUCUAACAAGCUCAACCUUUGAGCAUCCCUAACAUCCAAAUUUCCCGCAAAUCCAAAUAGAAUUUGCAGCAUCAUCUUCCUCAAAGGAACCUGUAACAACCAUCAACAACAAUUCAAAGUUGUUUCAAUAACAAUCUCAAAGUUGUUCUAUGACUUAGCUUAGGACUUAAGCUUGCUUGGUGACUAAAUAAAUUUAAUCAUCUCAAAAUAUGCACUUGAGUAGUUUAAUCCACUUGAGUAGAUUCUUCUCAACUCCCUCUCUUUAAAUCACUUAACGGGACAAUAAACUGUACAAAAACAAGAUGCAACAAAAAAAAUGAAUGAAUCUGCCAUGAAUUCAUAAUCAAGAAGUUUUUCUAGAGAAGAAGAGAAAGAAAUCAUGUUGAUGGGUAUAGACACACUAAGAAGAAAAAACAAAAAUCACUUUGUGUCUCUAUGGGUUUCAACCAUAUGAUUCAUUCACUUGUUGUUUUCACCAAAGAAACAACUAUUUAAAUCAAGGAGGGAAAAUAAGUCUUGUGAAGCUUUGAUCCAGAUCAAGUGAAACUGUGAUUCAAAUCAAUUUUAGUUGAUUCUAAUCAAUUUUUACAUUUGAUUCAGAUCAUAUGAGGUUGUCAUUCGAAUCAUGUUUGUUUUGUGAUUAGAAUCACGUAUUACACUUUAUUCAAAUCAUAGAAAAAUCCAGAUCAAAUGUAUUACACUUUAUUCAAAGCAAAUGACUAAAAAUCCAGAUUUAAGAGUUCUAACUUGUGAUUCAAGCUGCUCUUGAUGAAACAAAAAAGUAGCAACUAGCUAGGCUAAAAAAAUAAUAAUAUCAAGGAUCAAAUACUUUUUUAAAUUAGUAAGAAAGAUUCUUUGUGAUAUAACAAUACAAUAGUCGAAGUGAUUAUAAAUGAAUAGCGAAUAGAAUACAAGCACAUGAUUAUAGAAUCAAAUUACAAAUACGUAAAUACUAAAACAACUAUUUUGAAUUGGCAAAAACUUCAAAACAACUAAAUGAUACCAUACAAUACUCUGACUGCACUUCCGCCAUGUAUACUAUUCGCAAUUUUCGUUCAAUGUCUAUCUAGGCCAUUCUCCUCAACAUAAAGGCUUAACAUAAAGGCUUAAAAUGCUUAAGUCAAAUGGAAAAUUUUUCAUAUCAAAGAAUAUGAUUUUUAAUGAGGAACAUCUUCCUUUCCCUCGUCUAUUUUCUAAUAAACCAAGUACUUGAAUAGUCCAAUUACCUAUCUCUACCACGUCCCACAUAAAGCACAAAGGCCUUUAUCCCAAACUCUCAACCACUUGUUAUGACUACAACUCAUUUUGGACCUGACAUAUGCCUCAACCUAUACACACCCACUCACCCUAUGACAUAUCUCAUUCAAAAUCACACGCUUCACCUAAAGCAAAUGAACACAACAAUAUUCCUGAAAUUUCUCAAUAAAGGAUAGCCUUAGACAAUGAAAGGUCCAUAACUUUACUUGUUAAAAACCAUGAUCAUGUCAUUCAUACAUAUGUCAUAACUGAUUACUCUAUGGACACUAUCUCAUUUAGCUUACCUUUAAGCAUGAGUGCUAUGUCCCGUUCUCCUUUAUUUCACAAUAAUAAACUUGGUCAACCUCUCUUGCAAAAUGAACACCCUAUAUUGACUAGAGGUAAAAUAGAAAAAUCAAAAGCGUUUGUAGCUCACAUAGAAGCCUUUGUAUCUAAUUUGACACAAGCCAUGAAACUUGAAUAUGAUGCACUCAUUGAAAAGUAUACAUGGACUCUACAAAGUUACCUCCUUAUAGAUGUUUAGGGUCAAAGAAAACCCUAAUGGAAGUAUAAACAAAUAAAAAGCAAGAUUGGUAACUAAGGUUUAUCAUUAACAACAUGGCUUUGCCUUUAAUGAGACAUUCUCACUAGUGGUGAAAUCAACAAAAAUCAAAGUUAUGAUCGGUCUAUAUGUCACCAACAAGUGGGACAUUCAACAAAUAGAACUGAACGAUUUUUUUUCGAGAAAAGAGUAAAUUCAAAGAAAUUUGUCAUCCAACAUGUAUCAAUCUAUAUCGAACUUGAUAUUCACUUUAUUCGUGAAAAGAAUAAAUCCAAAGAAAUUUGUCAUCCAACAUGUAUCCAUCUAUGUUCAAAUUGCUGACACACUAACAAAAUUCCUCGGUGCAACAUUUUUUGUAAGGAUUGAAUACCAAAUUCAAGGUAAUUUGCUGUAAGCCUCCUUAAUCUUGUGGGAGACUGUUACAUUACAGAUAAAAGCAAGCAAGUCGUGUACACAAUAAUUAAAUAUAACUACUACUUAAUUAAAUAUAACUACUACUUAAUUUACCUUGUAAUACAGAGCCUUCGGCAGCUUCUUUAUAUGCCCAUUUGCAAGCAUUUUUAUUACUUUCAGAUGCAUAUCUAAAUUAAACAAAAUUCAUUCGUACGUUAGCGACAUGCAUUUGUAUACUUUGAAUAAUAUUGAUACUCUCUCUGGCAAUUAAUAUAAGCAAAUAUUCUCUCUUUAGAUUCAUUGAAUAAUGAAUGUAUCUGAUCUUUUAUGUAGACCAUAUACAAUCAUUAUUCAAUGAACUUAAAAAGAGAAUACUUGUUUAUAAUUCAGGUCGGAGGGAGUACUUGAUAGACACACCACUCAAGAAAGGCCUCACAAUAUUAUGGGCAAUGUGCCUUUUUAAUAAUAAUAGAAAAUGAUAUAUGGCCUAUAGAACUCACGUGAUUAGGCACGCGAUGUCGUCAGAGAUGCAGUUCUCCCAUUCUUCUACUUGAGUGCCCCAUACCUUCUAUUUAUUUAUUAAGAGAAUAAUCAAAAUGAACAACAAUAAGGUUUAAUUAUCGAUAAAUAUUAUUGUUAAAUUAGAUCAUCAACAACAUGCACGCGAGUACUGUAAUAUUGGUUUGAAUUGCAUCAAUGAAUUCUCCCAAAUCAAAGUUAUAGAAUCUUUCAACUUCACUCCCAAUUAUGCUAUUAUCCCAAACCUUCAUACAUACAACAAUAGUUAUAUAUAAGAUUUCACAAUAAAAAGUAUAUUAUAAACAAUACUACAUCAUAGAUAACAUACUUGGUGAAUGUUUGUUUUAUUUGCGAACCGCUGAACAAUAAUUGUAUUGCCUUCUUUGUCUGAGAGAAAGCUACAAUGUAGAGGUUGAUGAAUGUCUCCCAUUAAAUGUGAAAGGAAUAGAAGAGAUUCUGUGAGGUUAUCUGAUAUUUAUGAAAUUCAAACCAUUAAUUAUAUAACUUUUAAUUGGUAAAAAAAUAAUGUAAUUACCAUAGCCCUUCUUCCUAGAGUCAGCUGAUUCAAAGGGCAGUAACUGACUGAUUUGAUCUCCGAAUUCAUUUCAAUAGAUGGGAGAUAUUAAAAGUUAUCACUCUCUUUUGCUCCGCUCUCAUUCACUUUCUCUCGCUACCCACCGGCCACACACCACCAGUCACCACCUCCAAAGCACGAGCAGUGCUCGAGCACCCACCGCAAGGUCACCCACCGCCGCUGGGAGAUAAUAUAGCUAACAGAGCUGAAGCUUACAUGUAGAUUCUGAGUUACUGCCAUAGUGAAGAAGCUGGUUGGUGUAAUUAGUAAUUGCUCGCACAACGCAUCGACCUUUGGCUCCUGUUGUUGCAUCCAUACAAUCCCCUGAAAAUGUCACAUCCCCAACAUGAGUCAUUUGGUGUCAAAUUUGCAAGUAGAACUAAUUAGGAGAAGAUAUAAUACAGUGGCGGAGCCAGCGACUGGCUACCUAGGGCAGCUGCCCGGGCUCGACCGUCUCGAAUCACUUCCAUGGAACUCUUCUCUCCCUCAACACGAUGAACAAGAUGACAACUCUUUUUCACUCUUCACUGACUCCAAUGAACUCAAAGGAGGUUUAUUUCAUUCUUAUCUCAUUAAUUUCAUUUUAUCAUAGACACCAUUUCUCUAUAAUUAGCCUCAUAACUUCUUCAAAAGUUAUACACACAAUAAGCUUUACAUAUUACUUAUUUCUGUUUAUAUUCUUCCUGCCAUGUGUUUGAUGAAUUGCUUUACUAUACUAUGUUUGUAAUUGGUUAUUUUUGUUCAUACAUUGGUCAUGGCAUCGGUAUCGAAUUGUUGUUGUUACCACAGUUUUGCAUUUUGCACACUAAGUGUUUGGAAAGAAAAAAGUAUUGAAGCAAGCUCUUUUAUUCCGAAGUAAUAUCUGCCAUGAGAUAAUGUCGAGAUUUUGAAGCAAGCUCUUUUAAAUAACAAAGUGAGUUACAACUUACAAGGUUGGAUUCAAUUGUGUUUCAGGUCACACCAACUAGAACCAAGUAACAUGUCAUGAUCUUUAAAUAUGUGACACUGUUGCUAUACUCACUACUAUUACUAGUUUACUAUACUUCCUGAAUUUAUCAAAUUGUGAGUUUAAAGUCAUUGAACUCGCUUUUCCUUAAUUAAUUUAAUCCUUGUGUUUUCUUUCGUUUGGUUCAGUUUGGUCCGUGAAAUUACUCCAAGAAGAAAUUUAAUGCAUUUAGAGACCAAGAAAACUUAGGACUAUAGUGACAGAGUAUUAGAGUGAAAGUGAUAGUGAAAAAAUGAUUUCAUAAGGAAGUGGAAUUUUUAAAAGGAAAUGAUUGUCAUUUGAAACAUUUGAAGGAAAUGAUUUGUUGCUGCUAGCAAGGAAAGUACCUUUAGAACCUAUGAAUGAAGUGAUUUAUUAAUGUUGGAGUGGUUAGAGCUGCAGAGCUAAGGAAAAUAUUGGUGGAACUUGGGCCAGUAUGUCAUAUUGCUUAUUUUAUAAUUGUCGAAAGUUUAUUUUUUAAGAUGCAAGUGUCAGGAGUAUUAGCAAAGUGCAAAGGAGCAGACCAAGGAAACUGUUUUCUAACAUUAUCUGGCCAAGAACACAUACUGGCCAAGUCAUUUUCUGCUGAUUUUGGUAAUAAAUCUUUCACGGCUUCAGCAGCUGUGACGAGCCUGAGCAAUCUUGCAAACAGUGUAAUGUCCUUCCUCUCCCCAUCCUUGUGUGUUUGGAAGCAAAAGCAUGAAUGAAACUGUGGCUAUGGCUAUGACCAGCACUAGUUGAAUUUUGUAACUACCCAUUCUUGUUUACAACACAAAAAAGAAGAUUCGAACAAUGACUGAACUGAUUGUGUGUGGCAAA